rnacentral:rRNA from 1 species
UACGGAGGGUGCGAGCGUUGUCCGGAAUCAUUGGGCGUAAAGGGCGCGUAGGUGGCCCCUCAAGCGUGCGGUGAAAGUCAGGGGCUCAACCCCUGAUCGGCCGUGCGAACUGGGGAGCUUGAGCACUGUAGAGGCAGGCGGAAUUCCGGGUGUAGCGGUGGAAUGCGUAGAGAUCCGGAAGAACACCGGUGGCGAAGGCGGCCUGCUGGGCAGUUUUGCUGACAC